UACGUAGGGGCCUAGCGUUGUCCGGAAUUAUUGGGCGUAAAGAGCUCGUAGGCGGUUCGGCAAGUCGGAUGUGAAAUCUCCACGCUUAACGUGGAGGGGCCAUUCGAAACUGCUGUGACUCGAGUCCGGGUAGGGGAGUGUGGAAUUCCCGGUGUAGCGGUGAAAUGCGCAGAUAUCGGGAGGAACACCAGUAGCGAAGGCGGCACUCUGGGCCGGUACUGACGCUGAGGAG
rnacentral:rRNA from 1 species